GAUGAACGCUGGCGGCGUGCCUAAUACAUGCAAGUCGAGCGAACGGACGAGAAGCUUGCUUCUCUGAUGUUAGCGGCGGACGGGUGAGUAACACGUGGAUAACCUACCUAUAAGACUGGGAUAACUUCGGGAAACCGGAGCUAAUACCGGAUAAUAUUUUGAACCGCAUGGUUCAAAAGUGAAAGACGGUCUUGCUGUCACUUAUAGAUGGAUCCGCGCUGCAUUAGCUAGUUGGUAAGGUAACGGCUUACCAAGGCAACGAUGCAUAGCCGACCUGAGAGGGUGAUCGGCCACACUGGAACUGAGACACGGUCCAGACUCCUACGGGAGGCAGCAGUAGGGAAUCUUCCGCAAUGGGCGAAAGCCUGACGGAGCAACGCCGCGUGAGUGAUGAAGGUCUUCGGAUCGUAAAACUCUGUUAUUAGGGAAGAACAUAUGUGUAAGUAACUGUGCACAUCUUGACGGUACCUAAUCAGAAAGCCACGGCUAACUACGUGCCAGCAGCCGCGGUAAUACGUAGGUGGCAAGCGUUAUCCGGAAUUAUUGGGCGUAAAGCGCGCGUAGGCGGUUUUUUAAGUCUGAUGUGAAAGCCCACGGCUCAACCGUGGAGGGUCAUUGGAAACUGGAAAACUUGAGUGCAGAAGAGGAAAGUGGAAUUCCAUGUGUAGCGGUGAAAUGCGCAGAGAUAUGGAGGAACACCAGUGGCGAAGGCGACUUUCUGGUCUGUAACUGACGCUGAUGUGCGAAGGCGUGGGGAUCAAACAGGAUUAGAUACCCUGGUAGUCCACGCCGUAAACGAUGAGUGCUAAGUGUUAGGGGGUUUCCGCCCCUUAGUGCUGCAGCUAACGCAUUAAGCACUCCGCCUGGGGAGUACGACCGCAAGGUUGAAACUCAAAGGAAUUGACGGGGACCCGCACAAGCGGUGGAGCAUGUGGUUUAAUUCGAAGCAACGCGAAGAACCUUACCAAAUCUUGACAUCCUUUGACAACUCUAGAGAUAGAGCCUUCCCCUUCGGGGGGGCAAAGUGACAGGUGGUGCAUGGUUGUCGUCAGCUCGUGUCGUGAGAUGUUGGGUUAAGUCCCGCAACGAGCGCAACCCUUAAGCUUAGUUGCCAUCAUUAAGUUGGGCACUCUAAGUUGACUGCCGGUGACAAACCGGAGGAAGGUGGGGAUGACGUCAAAUCAUCAUGCCCCUUAUGAUUUGGGCUACACACGUGCUACAAUGGACAAUACAAAGGGCAGCGAAACCGCGAGGUCAAGCAAAUCCCAUAAAGUUGUUCUCAGUUCGGAUUGUAGUCUGCAACUCGACUACAUGAAGCUGGAAUCGCUAGUAAUCGUAGAUCAGCAUGCUACGGUGAAUACGUUCCCGGGUCU
rnacentral:rRNA from 1 species